ensembl:lncRNA
UUCCUCUUUUAUCUCUCUCCCCAAAGCUCCAGUGCAUGGCAGUAUACCCUAGUUGCCAGUCUUCUAGUUCUUCCACGUUGGCCUCUGCCACAGCAUGGCAACUGACAGACAGGUGGUGUGGUUCUGCGACCGGCAAUGAUCGCUGACCACCAAAGCGGAGACUGUGGAACCUCAACCACUAGGCCAUCAGGACCGCCCAGGGUGGGCUUUUAACCCCUGCCCGUGCCCACCUGGCGGCCAGUCCCAGCCUAGGCUCCGCUUGCGCCACAAUGGGUCGUUUGUGACGUCGUGCGUUCCCCUCCCCACGUGACCCCAUCCCCGAGAGUUUUGCACAAAAUUCCUCCGCCGGGCUCUUUGCCCAGAGCGACUCUUCCCUAGACGGCCCUUCCCAUUCCAGCCGGCCCUCGGUUCACCCCGCCACGCCUGUCCUUUAUCCCUUCUGGAAUCAGACGUCAGUGGCCUGCCCGUCACUGCGCCACCGCUGGCAGAGGGGUAGCUCCUCCAGCCAGUUUAGCAGCGCCAAGCGGCCUCCCACGGGCCUCCUGCCUCCCGAGGCCCAGGGCGCGGGCUUGAGCCCGAGUCCAGGAGCUGCCCGGCGUCCCCUUGCACGGUGGGGGGCGGGGCUCCCCCUCUGACCACGCCCCUCCGGAGGCCCCGCCCAAGUGCGGGCACGCGGUUUCUAUGGUGACGGCAAACAAGCCUCAGGCCUCCUGUGGCUUCAAGAACCCAGCACCGCCACCCCUUAGUCCCGCCAAUAAGGUGAUCAAGACUGACGGCACAGAUGCCCACAUGGAGUGACCUGGAACACCGAGAAACCGCCCGAGUAGGGCCAGGCCAGGGAGGGGCUGCCUGGGGGCCAGGACAAGGAAACGUGAACUCUGGGGACCCGGCGUGCAGCCCUCAAGAACAGGCAGUGGCAACUGGCGAACCUGGGCUUGAGAUCUAAGGAAGACGAUGAGCAGCAGACGUUGGGGAAGGAGGACGCCAGGAGUGACAGGGGCUCAUUCCUCAAGCAGGACCUUGUAGCCGUUCCCUGGGCCGCAGGCCGCCUGCAUAGGAGGGGCUCUGCCAGGCUGGGGGUGUGAGCUGUGGACGGAGUGCUGCGAAGAGCAGGGUCCCGGGACCCACGCAUUGCAGGGGGGUGCCGGCCACAGACUUUCAGUUUAUACAUCCACGUAGUGAAAGGGCUAAGUAGUUGUCGAAUUCUCUGUUAAGGAAACAGCGCCUCCAUCCCCCUCAGUCCAUUUCCUUCUCUCACGGGAAACCAUUUUCACAACUUGGCGCUUCUUUUUUUCUGAGUGCCCCCACGUUGAUUUCACCUCCUGUUGUCUUGCCUGCUGCCUGAGACCUGGAAUCUGUAUAUUUCUCUCUCUCACAUACACACACACUCGGGACAAAUGUGUCCUUUACUGAAUGUAGAAAGGAAUCGGAAGACGGCUGCUGCCCAUUGCCGUGUCUGAAAGGUGCUUCAGAAACAGAAAGCAAAACUCUGACCCUGGAGACAGAGAUUCUCCAGGAAAUCUGUGAGCGAGAAAGACGCCCAGGCAAGAAUAGAGUGCUGUGUGCAUGAACGUGGGGAAUAAAAGAUCGCUUAAUGCA